GAUGAACGCUGGCGGCGUGCCUAAUACAUGCAAGUCGAGCGAACAGACGAGGAGCUUGCUCCUCUGACGUUAGCGGCGGACGGGUGAGUAACACGUGGAUAACCUACCUAUAAGACUGGGAUAACUUCGGGAAACCGGAGCUAAUACCGGAUAAUAUAUUGAACCGCAUGGUUCAAUAGUGAAAGACGGUUUUGCUGUCACUUAUAGAUGGAUCCGCGCCGCAUUAGCUAGUUGGUAAGGUAACGGCUUACCAAGGCAACGAUGCGUAGCCGACCUGAGAGGGUCAUCGGCCACACUGGAACUGAGACACGGUCCAGACUCCUACGGGAGGCAGCAGUCGGGAAUCUUCCGCAAUGGGCGAAAGCCUGACGGAGCAACGCCGCGUGAGUGAUGAAGGUCUUCGGAUCGUAAAACUCUGUUAUUAGGGAAGAACAAAUGUGUAAGUAACUAUGCACGUCUUGACGGUACCUAAUCAGAAAGCCACGGCUAACUACGUG
rnacentral:rRNA from 1 species